rnacentral:rRNA from 1 species
GAUUGAACGCUGGCGGCAGGCCUAACACAUGCAAGUCGAGCGGAUGAAGGGAGCUUGCUCCUGGAUUCAGCGGCGGACGGGUGAGUAAUGCCUAGGAAUCUGCCUGGUAGUGGGGGAUAACGUCCGGAAACGGGCGCUAAUACCGCAUACGUCCUGAGGGAGAAAGUGGGGGAUCUUCGGACCUCACGCUAUCAGAUGAGCCUAGGUCGGAUUAGCUAGUUGGUGGGGUAAAGGCCUACCAAGGCGACGAUCCGUAACUGGUCUGAGAGGAUGAUCAGUCACACUGGAACUGAGACACGGUCCAGACUCCUACGGGAGGCAGCAGUGGGGAAUAUUGGACAAUGGGCGAAAGCCUGAUCCAGCCAUGCCGCGUGUGUGAAGAAGGUCUUCGGAUUGUAAAGCACUUUAAGUUGGGAGGAAGGGCAGUAAGUUAAUACCUUGCUGUUUUGACGUUACCAACAGAAUAAGCACCGGCUAACCUCGUG